rnacentral:rRNA from 1 species
UACGAAGGGGGCUAGCGUUGCUCGGAAUCACUGGGCGUAAAGCGCACGUAGGCGGAUUGUUAAGUCAGGGGUGAAAUCCUGGAGCUCAACUCCAGAACUGCCUUUGAUACUGACGGUCUUGAGUCCGGGAGAGGUGAGUGGAACUCCGAGUGUAGAGGUGAAAUUCGUAGAUAUUCGGAAGAACACCAGUGGCGAAGGCGGCUCACUGGCCCGGUACUGACGCUGAGGUGCGAAAGCGUGGGUAGCAAACAGG